CUUCCUCUCUAUCUUCAUAUCAUUCCCUCUUCUGCAAAUUAGUGAAAACCCUAAUUCUCAUCCAAGAUUGGAAGCUUACUUUUUGAGGGGAAUGUUGUUUGGCUCGAGGCCCAUAGGCCAUAACAUAUGCAUCUUUAUGCAUACGUUUGUAUCGGUUAUUACUAUGUUAGGCGUCGGACCAGGCUUCAUUCCCCCCAAUUUCUAGCUUCCUUGCAAUUGUAAUCCACCCUUGUCGCCGGCGGCCGGCUAUAUUGGCACGCAAGAGCAGAUUGGUGUGAUGAUUAUGAAAGUUGACUUGAGCUUUCAAACAAGAAAAGUACACCCUGCACCGCUACUGCUACUAAUGUAUUAUUUCUUCAUCAUUACCAUUUUCUUUCUAUCUUCUUCAUCUUUUCUAACAAUCGUAAAAUGGGUUUUUGUUUUGUUUCUUAACUUUUUCCGUGUCGGUUUUCCAAUGUGUGUGAACUCCAUCGGAUCUCCUUUUUUUUACCAUACCAUUUUCUACCUCAUGCUCUAUACAAUAUACAAACCAACUUCGAAAUUAAUCGUUGCCCAUUUAUCGGCAGCUUGCUCAUCAUGUCUCAUUUCUGUUACCUUUAUUUUCUCACAGUUGAUUCAGGGUUUCGUACUCUUUUUGCUGCUAAAAAUUAGCAAUCCUCUAUAGCUGCCAAAUUAAAGCCUUUGAAUUUGUGAGAGCCUCAUAACAGAGUUUGAGCCUCAUAGCAAUACGCUUUGAGUUUCUAAUAGUACUUCAUCAAAUUUCGUGGUACCUUUCCAUAAAUUAGAACAUUAAUUAAUUUACAAUUUCACAAUGCUGGUUUCUCAUGUGUGUGUGAGUGUGAAGGUGAUGACUGAUUUAGGAAAAACAUGUAUGAAUGAUUCUUAGCGUGUUGAUGAGCAUAAUUUCUAUUUACUGAUGUGAUAACCUUGCCAUCUCAAAUCACUGUCAUUCAUGAAUAGGAAGAAAAAAAAAAUCAUCCUUUAUUAUAGUACGUGUAAGGGUAUAGGUAUUCUUUUCAAAAUACUAGUAUAUAAACAAGGAAAAAAGAAAGAAAAAAACAACUUGAUAUGAUUUGAAUGAUAAGAAUUGAUGGGAUUUUUCAAAAAAGUAGGUCAGGAGGGUAGAGUUUACUUGAACAAUUGUCCAGUGGGAUAUAGAAAUCAAGAAUAAUAAUGUAAUUGUAUAUACUCCAUGUGUAAGGUUACAUGAUUUAUACUGCUUAUUUAUACUGUGAAAGUCAAUUGCAUUAUGCAUGAGUAUUUUAUUUAACAUGAAUAGCCCCACACAUGUAUAUUGAAAUAUGGAUUAUCUGUAGUGUUUUGUAGAAUUCUUUAUCUUUAUUUAUGGACAAAUGAAUAUAAAUUUAAAGUUUAUGUGUGUACUUGAACCUAUGAUCUUUGGCCUCGGGCAUUACCACUCUACCGCUUGACCAACUCACACACACUCUACACACUCUGUUGAAUUCUUCAUCAUAUCACAGUUUGGGGUUUGAUGAUGCUGUGGAGAGAGAGAUGUAUGAAUGUGGAAAUAGGAAUAGUUGUUGGGGAGAUUGAUAUAUAGAGAGGUAGAGGCACAGGAAAUGAUAUGAAAGAAAUGAUGUGGAAAAGUGAAAUAGAAGGCAUCUGAGUGUGUUUCAGACAAGAAAGGCUGACAAAUUAAACUGGCCUUCUCAUUGUGUCAUCAAUUGCUGAAGCUGAUGCUGAUGCUUCACCCCUAACAUUUAAUGCUUUCAUCUCCUACAAAUUCUCACUAUUUUCAUUUCUGUU